rnacentral:sRNA from 1 species
GGAAGGGAAGGUGAUGCGCUACAACAUCUGACAUCACAUAUAUAGCCAGAAGAUUCUUUAUUUUCUGGCUGACUAAACAGGUGUCUUCAUCUUUCUACACAGCUCCGCGAGCUUCCUUCCCAGAUCUACCUUCCUGAUCAAAGAAGCCUAGAAAAUGCCUGAGGAAGAGUAAUGGGAGGCAAGCCUAGAAAAAAGGGAGAACCAGAUUGUAGAGGCUGACAUUUCU